rnacentral:misc_RNA from 1 species
UCUUUUAUCGGGUUUACUUAAUAUCUUGUGUUUUGUGCCGGGACUUUUUUUCUAGUUUAUUAGGAUUAUCCAAGAUAUUUAUUUCGGACUUGUGUGUGUUUAAACAUAUAAUUUGAGUUUUUUUUUAAACAUUUAAGUGAAAUAAGUGACUACUUCCUAUUUUAGUAUAAGUUUUUGGGGUUCUGAGAUCUGUUGCUGCAUAUAGUAACCCAGUAUCAUUAGCAUAAAGAUAUAGAGCAGAUGUCAAUGAAAAUGGUAUCUGCAGAGAACAUAACAGAUUUCGUUGCAGUUUGUGGCGAAAUAUGCGAUCAGUGGACAUGUUGGCCGGAGACACCUGCCAAUAAAAAUGCCACGAAACCUUGUCCUAAAAUCAGAGGAACUGUGGAAAAUGGGCUGGCCUAUAAAGUAUGCACAGCAAGCGGCUCGUGGGAGGUGAAAUUAGAUCUCUAUGGAAUUCCGACGAACUAUACACACUACGAGACUUGCAUAAUGCCAGAGAUUCAACAGUUGACUAACAUGUGUAAUGCCUUUGGGUUGGGAGAGUGUGCUAGGAUAGGAAGAGUUACAAGACUUAUAGAAAUGGUUGGACUGUCACUUUCAUCUUUAUCAUUAAUGUUGUCUUUGUAUAUAUUUUUUUCAUAUAGGAUACUCAAAAAUAACAGAACAAAAAUCCACAAAAAUCUAUUUUUCGCCACCUUAUUCCAAGUAUUCUUUAGGUUAAUCAAAUAUAUCGAUCAAGAGUUAGAUGAAAAUAAAAAGUUUCUUCUAGAUGAGUACCAUCUCUUGGAAGUUUGCACAGUCUUAAUGGAAUAUGCUAAAACAGCAAUGUUUACGUGGAUGUUCAUAGAAGGCCUUUAUCUGCAUAACGUCAUAACAGUAACCGUUUUCCAAGAAUAUCUAUAUAUAAACUUUUAUAUUUGGUGUGGUUGGAUUAUUCCAGCUGUUAUGACGCUUAUAUGGCUAGCAGUAAUGAUCUUCGAAGGAGUUAAAACGACUUGGGCUUAUUAUUACUUUCUGCCGUAUUAUUGGAUAUUGGAAGGGCCCAGAUCUACUCUUAUAAUAAUAAACCUUCUUUUUCUCCUCAACAUAAUUCGUGUAUUAAUAGUAAAAUUACGCCAGACCCGCUCCAGUGAAAUAGAGCAAGUGAGGAAAGCAGUAAGAGCUGCCAUAUUUCUUCUUCCUCUAAUGGGUACCGCUCACAUCUUAUUCCUCUUAGACUACAGAUACAAAGAAAUGUGGAAAUUUGAAUUUUGGUCAUACACAACAUAUUUCCUUAAUACAUUUCAAGGAUUUUUCGUAGCCGUUUUGUACUGCUUUUUAAAUGGAGAGGUACAGGCAGCAAUAAGAAACCAAUAUUUUCUUCAUAUGUCAUUAAGAAGGAACAACUAUACUUCAUAUCAUCGAGGCUUUACUGUGGUUUCCACUGCGACUGGCGAAAAUAAUGGAAAGAAAUUCAAAGUUAUAAUAACCCAAUUUUUUAGCGAGCGAAACAGAUGGCUAAGGAAUUGUUGCAGUCAGCCACCCCAGUCGCCCGAGGAAAAGGAAAUAGAGUAGUUUAUGUGAGAUUAAUGGGGGACGAGAUGGUCCAACCACAGUUACUGUUGUUGAAACUAUUCCAAUGAUUAAGAGGCAUGUAGAAAGCAAUGGUUUUGAAUGCCACAGUCCAA